GGCAGUGUGGAGUAGUGGUUAGUUGGACUAGGACUCUAUAGAGACCAGGGUUCAAAUCCCUACUUGGCCA